AUCUCGGAAUUGUUUGCCACCUGAUUAACCGUACUGCAAUAUCAAUGGUUUCCAAAUAACUUCUACACUCUUCUACUAAAAAAAUUCUGAAGUCCAUAUUUUUCUUAAGAAAUGUCAGUUUUCGAAAACCUUGCUAUUUUCAAUGGAAUAACACCGUCGCUACUCUCCGUGGUGUUAAGUAUCUCCAGCAACCCCAAUUCUUCAUUUUACUCCAGUACUAAGACUUCGAUUCACAGAUUAUGCAGAACACUGAAUUUCAACAUGAUGCGAUGUGAAUGCAGAUUGUUAAUGACUUGGAGAAGAUAGGGAAAGUCCUUUCCAAAUGACGAUGCUGUCAGAGCUGCUGAGAUAGGGAAGAAACAAAAGGAAGAUUUGUGUUUAGGGAGAGGGCACAGAGAGAAGGUGAAUGGAGGCAUGAUCUAGUGGGAAAAUUGAUAAGAGUGAAACACAAGAGACUGCUAAAUGGAUGGAUUUGUAACACCCCCUACUAAUUAUUUAGCCACAGUUAUCAUCCAGCCCUAUAACAAAAAAUCUCCAGUUACUUUAAAUGUAAGACAUUUUGUCACAAUUUCCUGGCAUUUUAUGUCACAUGCUACUGUGCACUUAAUAAUUCCUUGUCCCUUUUAGUUUUGUUGUAAUAAAGCUAUUAAUUUCACAGCAAAUGUUUUGCAGCUCUUUGCCAGUGCACAAUAAAAUAACAUGAAACAGUGUGUAAUUAUUUAAAUGUUUGCAGUUAAUAUGCCACACAUGUCUAUUUCACUGCGAGCAAUUUUAUUUGCCUGAUGAUCACUCCCAUUUUUCCAGCUAACUAAUCUCUGCCUUUGAGGAAAUUGAUCACUAUCUUCUCGCACUGCUUAUCAUUUCACCAAUCCGUUAGAAUCGAAUAUCAUUCCAGUUGCUCCCCCUCCCUGUGCAAUUUGUGAAUAACUGCUCAUAGCUGCAAGUACAAUAACCAAC